rnacentral:rRNA from 1 species
GAUGAACGCUGGCGGCGUGCCUAAUACAUGCAAGUCGAGCGAACAGACGAGGAGCUUGCUCCUCUGACGUUAGCGGCGGACGGGUGAGUAACACGUGGAUAACCUACCUAUAAGACUGGGAUAACUUCGGGAAACCGGAGCUAAUACCGGAUAACAUGUUGAACCGCAUGGUUCAACAGUGAAAGACGGUCUUGCUGUCACUUAUAGAUGGAUCCGCGCCGCAUUAGCUAGUUGGUAAGGUAACGGCUUACCAAGGCAACGAUGCGUAGCCGACCUGAGAGGGUGAUCGGCCACACUGGAACUGAGACACGGUCCAGACUCCUACGGGAGGCAGCAGUAGGGAAUCUUCCGCAAUGGGCGAGAGCCUGACGGAGCAACGCCGCGUGAGUGAAGAAGGUCUUCGGAUCGUAAAACUCUGUUAUUAGGGAAGAACAAAUGUGUAAGUAACUAUGCACGUCUUGACGGUACCUAAUCAGAAAGCCACGGCUAACUACGUG